rnacentral:rRNA from 1 species
GACGAACGCUGGCGGCGUGCUUAACACAUGCAAGUCGAACGGAAAGGCCCUGCUUGCAGGGUACUCGAGUGGCGAACGGUUGAGUAACACGUGGGUGCUCUGCCCUGCACUUCGGGAUAAGCCUGGGAAACUGGGUCUAAUACCGGCUAGGAGCCAUUGUUGUUGUGAUGGUUGGAAAGUUUUUUCGGUGUCGGAUGAGCUCGCGGCCUAUCAGCUUGUUGGUGGGGGAAUGGCCUACCAAGGCGGCGACGGGUAGCCGGCCUGAGAGGGUGGACGGCCACAUUGGGACUGAGAUACGGCCCAGACUCCUACGGGAGGCAGCAGUGGGGAAUAUUGCACAAUGGGCGCAAGCCUGAUGCAGCGACGCCGCGUGGGGGAUGACGGCCUUCGGGUUGUAAACUCCUUUCGCUAGGGACGAAGCUUUUUGCGACGGUACCUAGAUAAGAAGCACCGGCUAACUACGUG